GGAGUUUUUCCUCACCACCAUCACCUCUGGCUGCUCAUUACGGAAAAACUCAUAUGUUUAAAAUCUAUAUCCUGAAUUUAUAUAUUUCUGUAAAGCUGCUUUGGAACAAUGUCCACUGUUAAACACGUUAUACAAAUAAAAAGGUAUUGAAUUGACACAUUGCUAUUAGCACAUAAAACUGUGGUGUAACAUUACUUGCUUAGAUAUACACAAAGCAUCUUUAUGGGUUUUAAGUGGAACCAUCCUCAGUAAUCUCAAUGAUAUUUAGUCUGCACCAUGUGGGACAUCCUCAGCAGCAGCAUGUGUCAUCCAAUUGAUGAGAACUCCAGCCAGAAGUAGGGCAGCAGGAUGGAUCAGGCAGGUCUGGAGAGCAGAAGGAGUUAGGAUCACUGGCAUCUCAGGAGUAUCAUGUGUAGCUCGACAGAAAGAGAGAGAGGGACCAAAAUACGUAAAGUUAAUACCAACACAUGUUUAUCAUAGACACAAUAUACAGUGAUGGUAUUUACCCCCCCACACACAUUGCUAUUAGCACAUAAAACUGUGGUGUGACAUUAGUUGCUUAGAUAUACACAACAUAUACACCAUAGACAGUAUUAAUUUUAGUAUAGAUGUUAUCUUUACUGUAUUAACUUUAAAGUAGACAUUAGUAACUUCAUUGCAGGUACUACCAGCUCUACUGCAGACGGUACCAUAUUUAAAUUAAACAUUACUAUCUUUAUGCAGACGUUACCAGCUUUACAGCAAGCGUUACCACCUCUACUGCAGACGCUACCACGUCUACUGCACGUUGACGUUACCAGGUUUGCAUUAAACAUCAGCAGCUUUACUGCAGACGUCACCGGGUUUACAUUAAACAUUAAUAUCUUUACUGCAGACUUUACAACAUUUACAUUACUAGCUUUGCUGCAGACCUUGCUAGUUUUAUGGUAAAUAUUAUCUUUACUACCAACAUUACUAGUCAUACUGCAGACAUUACUAGUUUUACUAUCAUUAAUUUUUAUUAUCUGUAUUGUACGUUUAGUGUUUCUCAAUUUUUGAUAAUAUUACACACAUAACUCAAUAAUAUCUACACACAUUUUCUACAAACAAAAAGCCACAAGGAAUGUAUUAUCUGUGUUUCUCCAGGUACAGUGUUUAAUUUAUUAUUAACUGUAGUUAAAAAUAUGUGUGUGUGUGUGUGUGUGUGUGUGUGUGUGUGUGUGUGUGUGUAUGUAUGUAUGUAUGUAUGUAUGUAUGUAUGUAUGUGUGUGUUUAUAAAAGCUCAUUAGGAUGUAUCUGGGCUUUAUAAGUAGUGAAAAACACCACUGUGUCUAAAAACAUAAUGCCUGACUGUAUUAUUAUAUAUAUAUAUAUAAAAAAUUUUAAAGCACUUAUUAGCAGUAAGUCACUCAUUAAGGUCAAAACAUCGCACACAAUUAAUUCAUUAAAAACAAGGACAACCAGAACAAAGUAUUUAAUUUGCGAACUUUAACAAAUUAUUUAAAAAUAGUGCAUUAUGAAUUUUUUAUAUGAACUCUACUACAUUGUUUAAUUAACAAUAUUCUUUAUAAACAACAUAAGCAGCAUUCAGACAACACUUUAGGACAUAAAAAAUAAAAAUCCUAAAUCAGCAGCUUACGGAGAAUGGACAGAGAACGUACACAGUGUUUAUAGAGAUAACUUGCAAAAAUAUUAAAGUCCUACCAGAUCUGCCUCAUCCUCUUCCUCCUUCUUCUCCUCAGCUGCAGCAUCCAUCUCAGAUGGGUUAAAGUCCAGACGUGCCAUGUGCACCGGGGCCGACUCCCAGCUGUUCGCCAGCUGUGCAAACACAGUGAAACACACAAACAGCACAGUUACCAUUCAUUCAACUGCUCACUUACACCACUCCCCUCG
ensembl:lncRNA